rnacentral:lncRNA from 1 species
UUUAUCUAUGCGUUUUUUUGGAUUAGAUUGCUGAAUUUUUGAAAUCGGGAAGAGAAAUGGUGGUUCGUCCUUAGUUGAUCGCCGUUGUGGUAACUGCUGCUGUUGCUCGCUUCUUUUCUUUGUGUAACUGCUGCUUGUGUUGAUAGCGUAGGUAUAAGUUAUACCUAAAGGGUAUUUUCGUCCAGUCAGGUAUAAGUUUUUUAAAAGGAGUGACUAAAGUCUAAAUACAUUGAAAACAGUGGCUUUAAAAUAAAAGUCACAGCUUUUAGUGGCUAUUUGUGCCGUUCGCCCGAAAUAUUUCGUGCUUGGUUAGUUUUUUGACUUUUUGGGUGAUGAAAUCAUCAAAAAAAAAAAAAAUAAGCGAACUUGUUUGCCUCUGAGAUGUUUUUGGGAUCUCACUUCUCCAUGUUGCUGCUGCUAUUUAUUAACAAUUUCAAUUUUAAAACAUAAUAAAAAUAUUAAAAAAACCAAACGAACAAUAAAGAAAAAGAAAAAUUAAAAAGUAAAAGAGAGCUAUACCGUUUAAUUCACGGUUCUAAUGUUGGGAAUUUACAGUUACCCUGCCUACGCACAGAGUACCUACCUAGUUUUCUAUCAGUACAUUGGGAAUGUUGGGAGCCUUUUCUUAAUCCUUUGUAUUUCCCUCAUACUUUUCAUUCAACCAUAUAAGAGAGAGAGAAGUGACCUUUUUGUGCCGGUGGGCGGUGGCGAGGAACGGUGGAGACGAGGACUGAGAGCAAAGAAAGGAACGAGAGUGAGAGACCAAUUGAUUUCUUACAAAAUGUUGUACUCUGGUUCCA